rnacentral:rRNA from 1 species
CCAAUAGCGUAUAUUAAAGUUGUUGCAGUUAAAAAGCUCGUAGUUGAACUUCGGGAUCAAUGGAUCGGUCAUGCCGUUGGUAUGUACUGGUCACAUUGGUUCUCACCUUCUAAGGAACCAUGAUGUCAUUCAUUUGAUGUUGUGGGGAAUUAGGACUGUUACCUUGAAAAAAUUAGAGUGUUUAAAGCAGGCUCACGCUUGAAUACAUUAGCAUGGAAUAAUGAAAUAGGACAUCCGAUUCUAUUUUGUUGGUUUCUAGGAUCGAUGUAAUGAUUAAUAGGGAUAGUUGGGGGCAUUAGUAUUCAAUUGUCAGAGGUGAAAUUCUUGGAUUUAUUGAAGACUAACUACUGCGAAAGCAUUUGCCAAGGAUGUUUUCAUUAAUCAAGAACGAAAGUUAGGAGAUCGAAGACGAUCAGAUACCGUCGUAGUCUUAACCAUAAACUAUGCCGACUAGGGAUCGGAUGAUGUUAAUUUUUUAAUGACUCAUUCGGCGCCUUACG